rnacentral:rRNA from 1 species
GUAGCGUCCGUUCGGGAAUUUGGGAAACUGGGGUGAAACCGGAGAGGUGGGUAGAGUCAGUAUAUGGUUUUACGGGAGGGCUAAACGUGCUAAAUGGCGUAUACAAAGGGAAGCUAGCCUGCGAGGGUAUGCGGAUCUCAUAAAGUACGUCGUAUUCCGGAUUGGAGUCUGCAACUCGACUCCAUGAAGUCGGAAUCGCUAGUAAUCGCGGAUCAAAUGCCGCGGUGAAUACGUUCCCGGGCCUUGC